AAACGCCCGGUUACAUUCCGAACCCGGAAGCUAAGCCUUUCAGCGCCGAUGGUACUGCAGGGGGGACCCUGUGGGAGAGUAGGACGCCGCCGAACA
rnacentral:rRNA from 1 species